CAGCAGCCGCGGGAAUACGUAGGUGGCAAGCGUUGUCCGGAAUUAUUGGGCGUAAAGGGCUCGCAGGCGGCUUCUUAAGUCUGAUGUGAAAGCCCCCGGCUCAACCGGGGAGGGUCAUUGGAAACUGGGAAACUUGAGUGCAGAAGAGGAGAGUGGAAUUCCACGUGUAGCGGUGAAAUGCGUAGAGAUGUGGAGGAACACCGGUGGCGAAGGCGACUCUCUGGUCUGUAACUGACGCUGAGGAGCGAAAGCGUGGGGAGCGAACAGGAUUAGAUACCCGAGUAGUCCCUGUCUCUUAUAC
rnacentral:rRNA from 1 species